UCCUACGGGGCGCAGCAGUAGGGAAUAUUGCUCAAUGGGGGAAACCCUGAUCCAGCGACGCCGCGUGAGUGAAGAAGUAUUUCGGUAUGUAAAGCUCUGUCAGCAGGGAAGAAAGAAAUGACGGUACCUGACCAAGAAGCCCCGGCUAACUACGUGCCAGCAGCCGCGGUAAUACGUAGGUGGCAAGCGUUGUCCGGAUUUACUGGGUGUAAAGGGCGUGUAGCCGGGUUGACAAGUCAGAUGUGAAAUCCUGCGGCUUAACCGCAGAACUGCAUUUGAAACUGUUGAUCUUGAGUACUGGAGAG
rnacentral:rRNA from 1 species